UUCCAGAUGCUGCUUAAGAGGCCUGUGCUGAAAGCCUGCAAUCUGAACCCUCAGAGGCCACAGCCGUGUCAGCACCCAGGGAUCAACAUUUGGGCUGACUUCUCUCAGGCCAGGCAUCCACAGCAGAAGCAGAGGGAGCAGCACCUUCAACAGUGUUCCCUUCAGGGCAGGAACACCCAGCAGGGAGGAAUGCCUUCCAUGAGAUGCCCGGGGCUGGGGGUGGGGGGGAGUGCCUUCCAUGAGAUGCCCAGGGGCGAGUGCCUUCCAUGAGAUGCCCGGGGGGAGUGCCUUCCAUGAGAUGCCCGGGGGGAGUGCCUUCCAUGAGAUGCCCAGGGGCGAGUGCCUUCCAUGAGAUGCCCGGGGGGAGUGCCUUCCAUGAGAUGCCCAGGGGCGAGUGCCUUCCAGUGGCUGCCCAGAAAGGAGCCCUGCUCCCUGUGCGGAGUCUGGAGAGGCCACAGAGGGGGUGGAGGAGCCGGAGAGAAUCCCGUCUCUGUCUUCUUUGCUGCACCUGCCCUGCUCCGGAGGUGGUGUUCUGAUGUGGCUGGUAGAGCCAUGUUCGUCUCUAAAACUUCCUCGGACAGCCACGCAACAUCUGCUUCAUGACGGCAGCGUCAUCGCAUCUCUGCCCCGGUUUUCUCUGAACAUAAAUGUGCACUUGUGUGUGCUCAGCACAAAGAAUACAGCUCGCGGGUUGUCACUAAUUUUAAAUUUUGGACCAUGUUGUUUUCUUUCUGAUCUGUAAGAUCAGCUUCAUUGAAAUAUCUCUAAGACGCAAGCUAUGGAAGAGCAAAAUGAAACAAACAACCAGCUCUUUUGUAUAAAGGAAUAAAAGUAUAAAGAAUUUUAGACUAUUCAGGUAUCUGUCCAUGUGUUGUUACACAUUUUUUCGGUGCUUGAAGCCUGUUUACAUGAUGUCAACAUUACUAUGUGUAGAUACAUGUUAAAAAUCCCCCAGUAAUACUAAUUUUUUGAUGCACAAAACAUCAUAGAAAGUAUCGUAAUACCAAAAUGCUAUAAAUUAGUUUAAUAAAGAUUCAGUUUUAA
rnacentral:lncRNA from 1 species